UACGAGGGGUGCAAGCGUUGCUCGGAAUUAUUGGGCGUAAAGGGUGUGUAGGUUGUCUCGUUUGUCUGAGGUGAAAUCCCCGAGCUUAACUUGGGAAGUGCCUUAGAAACGGCGAGACUAGAGUUCUAUAGAGGGUAGUGGAAUUCCCGGUGUAGCGGUGAAAUGCGUAGAGAUCGGGAGGAACAUCAGAGGCGAAGGCGACUACCUGGAGAGAUACUGACACUAAAGCACGAAAGCGUGGGGAGCAAACAGG
rnacentral:rRNA from 1 species